rnacentral:tRNA from 1 species
GGGGUUAUAGUUUAACAAGCCAAAACAGUGGAUUUGCAAUCCACAGAAUGGAGUGCAAGUCUCCGUAGCUCCA